rnacentral:pre_miRNA from 1 species
UAGGUACUCCCUCCGUUCGGAAUUACUUGUCGCAGAAAUGGAUGUAUCUAGAUGUAUUUUAGUUCUAGAUACAUCCAUUUUCGAGACAAGUAAUUCCGAACGGAGGGAGUAGUUA